rnacentral:rRNA from 1 species
GUAGUCAUAUGCUUGUCUCAAAGAUUAAGCCAUGCAUGUCUAAGUAUAAACGACUUUGUACUGUGAAACUGCGAAUGGCUCAUUAAAUCAGUUAUAGUUUAUUUGAUGGUACCUUGCUACAUGGAUAACUGUGGUAAUUCUAGAGCUAAUACAUGCGUCAAAACCGCGACUUCUGGAAGCGGUGUAUUUAUUAGAUAAAAAACCAACGCCCUUCGGGGCUUCUUGGUGAUUCAUGAUAACUUCACGGAUCGCAUGGCCUUGCGCCGGCGACGGUUCAUUCAAAUUUCUGCCCUAUCAACUUUCGAUGGUAAGGUAUUGGCUUACCAUGGUUUCAACGGGUAACGGGGAAU